rnacentral:tRNA from 1 species
GUCCCCGUAGCUCAGUUGGAUAGAGCAACAGCCUUCUAAGCUGUGGGUCUGGCGUUCGAGUCGCCACGGGGACGCCA